UGUUGACACAUAAUUUGCUUGGGGUUCUUUCUUUAUAAGGAAAGAAGCAUAAUAUUUUUGUUUGACUUAGAUAAGUCUCCCGCGUAAGGUACCUUUCAUAAAUAUGUAAAUGUUAAGUAUAAAAGGGACAGUAUUGAGUUAUCCUCUAACAAAAUUCAUUUCAAAAGUUCAUCAUGAAGUUUCUUAGUCAGAAAAUAUUCUUGUUUUACAUUUUUGUAGUGUUUCAAUUUUUAAUUGGAAUUUCAACAGGAUUUCAUCUAUCAGACUUGAUGUGGUGGUCAAAGCAUGACAAAGACAAAGCCAAUGAUUUAAAGGUGAUUUCUUUGAAAACCAUUAAGGAAAAAUUUGCAACACAAGAUGCAGACGAAGAACUUGACAACAUAUUUUUCAAAGACAUUGUGAAACAAAAUCCGGUCUUGGAAGAUCCAAACUGUCAACCGGGAUUCGUUCGAGAUCGAAGAGGAAUUUGUAGAGAAGUUUGGUAGUGAUUUUUUUAAAGUAUGUUUCAAAUAACAUCCGAACUAUUCUUUUCAUUUUCCUGCAUACAUUUUUACUUAAAAUACAAGAAAGUUUUCUGAAUUGUUUGUUAAUAAAGUUUAAUUGACAAAAUGCAUGCUAAAUAUAUAUGACUUCUAAGAUUCAAAUUAUUUGCUCCAUUCCCUGAAUUAGGUUUGUUUGAUUUAUUUACGAACUGAUACUGUUUAGGCGUGUUCAGAUGUACCGUAUUUUUAAAAAUGGGAAUUAUUAUUUUACAAAAUCACAAAACGAAUAACAUUUUUUUAAAAUUUGUGGAAUACAUAUUUAGAAAAUUGAAAUGGAAAGGAAAGGCAUUAUAUAAAUAACUGACUUUUGUUCAAUCAUUGGAAAAUAAAAGAUGACACACUUUCAUUUUAUUUUUUUUAUUUUCAUCCCAAACUUAUUUAUAAAACAUUUUUCACAUAAAUAACAAUAAUUCUCAUAAGAUUAACUUAAUCUAUGUAGUAUAACAAUUUCUUUUUUUAUAUAAAAUAAAAUAUAAAUGAAAAAUCAAAAAACAAAAAAUAA